rnacentral:rRNA from 1 species
AGAGUUUGAUCCUGGCUCAGGAUGAACGCUAGCGGGAGGCUUAACACAUGCAAGUCGUGGGGUAACAUCCGCCGCAAGGUGGGAUGAUGACGACCGGCGCACGGGUGAGUAACGCGUAUGCAACCUACCCUGUACAGGGGGAUAGCCCGGAGAAAUUCGGAUUAAUACCCCAUAAAGAUAUAUAGAGGCAUCUUUAGAUAUUUAAAGUUUCGGCGGUACGGGAUGGGCAUGCGUAACAUAGCUAGUUGGGAGGGUAACGGCCUACCAAGGUUACGAUGUUUAGGGGACCUGAGAGGGUGACCCCCCACACUGGUACUGAGACACGGACCAGACUCCUACGGGAGGCAGCAGUGAGGAAUAUUGGUCAAUGGACGGAAGUCUGAACCAGCCAUCCCGCGUGCAGGAAGAAUGCGCUAUGCGUUGUAAACUGCUUUUCUGCGGGGAGAAUACCCCCGAUGCGUCGGGGAUUGACGGUACCGCAGGAAUAAGCAUCGGCUAACUCCGUGCCAGCAGCCGCGGUAAUACGGAGGAUGCGAGCGUUAUCCGGAUUCAUUGGGUUUAAAGGGUGCGCAGGCGGCGCAGUGAGUCAGUGGUGAAAUUCUGCCGCUCAACGGUAGGGCUGCCAUUGAUACUUCUGAGCUUGAGUACGGUUGAGGCAGGUGGAAUGUGCAGUGUAGCGGUGAAAUGCAUAGAUAUUGCACAGAACGCCGAUUGCGGAGGCAGCUUGCCAAGCCGUGACUGACGCUGAGGCACGAAAGCGUGGGUAGCGAACAGGAUUAAAUACCCUGGUAGUC